rnacentral:rRNA from 1 species
AGAGUUGAUCCUGGCUAGGACGAACGCUGGCGGCGUGCCUAACACAUGCAAGUCGAACGGACUGAUUCGCUUCGGUGAUGAAAGUUAGUGGCGGACGGGUGAGUAACGCGUGAGUAACCUGCCUUCAGAGGGGGAUAACGUUGGAAACGAACGCUAAUACCGCAUAACAUAUCGGCGUCGCAUGGCGCUGAUAUCAAAGGAGCAAUCCGCUGGAAGAUGGACUCGCGUCUGAUUAGAUAGUUGGCGGGGUAACGGCCCACCAAGUCGACGAUCAGUAGCCGGACUGAGAGGUUGAACGGCCACAUUGGGACUGAGACACGGCCCAGACUCCUACGGGAGGCAGCAGUGAGGGAUAUUGCACAAUGGGCGCAAGCCUGAUGCAGCAACGCCCGCGUGAAGGAUGACGGUUUUCGGAUUGUAAACUUCUGUUCUCAGUGAUGAUAAUGACAUUAGCUGAGGAGAAAGCCACGGCUAACUACGUGCCAGCAGCGGC